UAACGGAUCCCAUCAGAACACUUUUUGGAAAUGUUCUUCACCAUCUCAUCCACAAAGACUUCCAUGAAGCAGUGGCCAAAAUGACCAUAAUAGAUGCUUUUCUCUUCAUUGUAUGCAACUAAUUCCCUCUACAUCUUAUCAUCAUAACAUAUAGUUGUUACUUCAGUGAUUCUUAAAACAUUUAUCCGAGUUUUUCUUAGAAUCCUGAUAUGUAUAUACUCAAUUAAUAGUUGUUUAUAAGGUAGUGGGGUUGGUUUUCAAAUUUUAAGUCAUUUUUUAGCUAAUUGUGAAAGAUAGAUAAACAGUUGAAGUUUUCUUGAUGUGUAUGUUUUUUUUUUCUUUGUAAGAGAGUUAUAUCACCUCUAAAGCGGGUCAUAUUUAUUAUAACUUUUAUUCAUUACAAGAAAAUCUAAAAUUACAUAUCAUAUUACAUACGGAUAGAAAUUCGUAUGUAAGUAAAUAUUACAUAUGGAUAUUUCUUCUAUGCUUGGUAAUAAAAUUUUAUCAAAAGUUUUAAGUUGUGAUGAUGAUGAAAUGAGUUUGUUUUCUCUUUUUAAAUGGUUUAUGCAGAUUGUUCAUUCCAUUGACAAGGUGGGGAUAUGGCCACGUCUACCUGUAUUCUUAGGGCUAUUGUAUCUGGCUAUUAGACGCCACCUUCACCAAGAGUACAAUCUCUUCAACGUUGGAACAACACCAGUAGGAAUUAGGUUCAACCCUUCUGAUUUUCCAUACAGAACAGCUGAUGGAAAAUAUAAUGAUCCUUUCAAUGAAGUUGCUGGCAGCCAAGGCACUUUCUUUGGCAGAAAUAUGCUCCCUGUUGAUCAGAAGAAAAAGGUCCACAAUCAAUCAUAUAUAUAUAUAUAAAGCUACUUUGUUGAUUUGUUCUUAUUAUAUAGUUUCAUGGUGGUGAGUUUUGAAGGCAUAGUUUUGUGUGUGCAGGUGUUGAAGCCUGAUCCAAUGGUGGUAGCCACUAAACUACUAGCCAGGAGAACAUACAAGGACACAGGGAAGCAAUUCAAUGUGAUAGCAGCUUCUUGGAUUCAGUUUAUGAUUCACGAUUGGAUCGAUCAUCUUGAGGAUACCAAACAGGUCCUAAUUAUAUGACAGUAAUCAAUUUCUAAAACUCAUUUCAAAAUUAGUACUAAAACAAAGUAUGCCUAACUCAACUUCAUAGAACUGAUUUAUUAUCGGAUCUCAGAACACCUAUAAAUAUAUAUUGUCUCACGCAUGAACUAUCACCUCGGCUUGAAGGGGUGUGUAGAUAAUUUCAUAGUACAUAACUGGAUGCAAACUUCACCUCAUAAGUUGAUUUUAUAAGGAUGAGUUAGACGUAAAGUCGAACUUCUUAAUAUUAUAUAUUCCGUAUAUUUUCUCUUUUUCUUUCAACUUUGUACAUAUCAAACCUAGUGAAACAUAUGUAUUUACAUGUUAACUGUGCAUAAUGAUGCCUUUUUACUGAGAUAAUGAAGAUGUCUAAUUUGUCGAUGGAAUUGUGAUACAUAUAUAUAUAGAUUGAACUCACUGCACCAAGAGAAGUUGCAAGCCAAUGCCCUCUCAAAUCUUUCAAGUUCUUCAAGACUAAGGAAUUUCCCACUGGAUUCUACGAGAUCAAAUCCGGAUCAUCAAACAUUCGAACACCUUGGUGGUAAGAUUUCUACCACACUUUAUCUCAGCCAAAAGUUAAAAGUCAAUGUUGACAUGAUUUUCAUUCCUGCUAAGAAAUGAUAUUGAUAGAAACUCAUAAUUUCAAAGAAGAAAAAAAGAUAACUUAGAUGAAAAAAAGUAGAAUUUAAACUAAAAGAAUGCAACUUGUGUAACGUUUGUCUUUUGGUGCAUGCACGCAUGCAUGUAUAAUGUUCCCGUGUAUAAAAUAAUGCGUGGGGCACCUUAAUAGGUAUUUG
rnacentral:lncRNA from 1 species